rnacentral:rRNA from 1 species
UACGAGGUGUGCGAGCGUUGCUCGGAAUCACUGGGCAUAAAGGGUGCGUAGGCUGUGCGGCAAGUCGGAUGUGAAAUCCCUCGGCCUAACCGGGGAACUGCAUCCGAUACUACCGCGCUCGAGUGCGAAAGGGGCAAGCGGAAUUCCGGGUGUAGCGGUGGAAUGCGUUGAUAUCCGGGAGAACGCCGACGGCGAAGGCAGCUUGCUGGGUCGCCACUGACGCUGAGGCACGAAAGCUAGGGGAG